rnacentral:snoRNA from 1 species
UAGUUGGAUUUUGGGUUGUGACAUCCUUAAACCUCUCCCAUGCUUCAAAAAUAGUUUCCGUAUCUUUCUGGCAAAAGUUAUGGAUUUCUCUUAUAAACUU